rnacentral:tRNA from 1 species
GGUCCCGUAGCUCAGCUGGAUAGAGCAGCUCCCUCCUAAGAAGCCGGUGGCUGUUGGUGUGGCCCGGCACAAGUGCUAUUUAAAAUAUUGAUUUCAUUGCCCAUGUGAAAGCAUAAACUACGGGGCCA